rnacentral:rRNA from 1 species
UACGUAGGGUGCAAGCGUUAAUCGGAAUUACUGGGCGUAAAGCGUGCGCAGGCGGUUUUGUAAGUCUGUCGUGAAAGCCCCGGGCUCAACCUGGGAAUUGCGAUGGAGACUGCAAGGCUUGAAUCUGGCAGAGGGGGGUAGAAUUCCACGUGUAGCAGUGAAAUGCGUAGAGAUGUGGAGGAACACCGAUGGCGAAGGCAGCCCCCUGGGUCAAGAUUGACGCUCAUACACGAAAGCGUGGGGAGCAAACAGG